AAAGGACCAAUCUCCUCUUGCCAACAAUCACUUAACAAUAAUUCUAGGGGGACCGGGGUUUAGGGACAUUUCUAAUGACCGGCUGAUGUGGCUGUGCCACAUCAGUAUGAGAGAGGAAGUGGAAAAAAAAAGAAGUAAGAGUCCGGAACAGAGGAAGCUCCUCUUCUCACUUUGCCAAACAGCGAUGUAUCUCAAUAUUAUCUUCCUUCCUCUCUCAUGCCAGUCGCCAAACUGAACUCCAAGCUUCGCUGAACAAGCUUCCUCGUGAAAUAACAUUGGCUUUCAAGGUAUCAUCUUCCUAUUUCGCAUCCUCCUCUCCCUACCAUUACUCUCUCAUGCGCCUAAAUUCCCAAAACCCUAAAAUUAAUUUGGGCAUACUCUUAUUUUGGGUGAAAAUUUUGUGCAAACUCUUUGAGAAUUGAAAGGAAGGGAUUUAAUUGCCAAGCUCAUAUUUUGUAAAUACUUUUUUCUCAUCAACUUUUACAUGAUGCUCAAGAACUGUUUGAUAAAAUGCGUGAAAGAAAUGUUAUGUCCUGGACUACAAUGAUAGUUGUUUUCUCUAAUGCUAAGGUUUAUUAAUUUUUUUGUUGCUAAUUAUGUUUUUUUAUUAUUUUGUCUUUCGUUUCUGUUAAAUCAAAACAAGAAAAGAAAUUUCGAGGUAACUUUUCAAUCUUCAUGUUGAUAUAUACUCGUACUACUGUGAAUGGGCAAAAUAUGAGAAUUUUCUUUACAAAAUAAUAAGUAUUUUUUAGAACUAGAAAUGCGUACAAAUAUCAACAGUCGGGGUAAAAACAUCAUUUUUAAGCAAUAUUAACCAUCAUUUUUGAUUGAUAAGGCUACAUUAAAAAAAUGAAAAAGAGGGAACUUUUUUUAUAUAUCUAUGGCAUGUAGUUAAUAUAUUUUUAUAAAUUUGCAGAAAUGGCAUGUAGUGAUGAGUUUCAAUCAAGUAUGAGAAUUAAUGAUAUUAAGGAAUGUGUUAUGGCGGAGGAUUUAGUAGAAAGUGAAGAAGUUGAUGAAGUGAUUAGAGAUCCGGAAGUUGGAAUGGAAUUUGAUUCCGUUAAUUUAUACACGGAAUAUUUCACUAAUUAUGGUAAUCAAAAUGGAUUUCCGGUGAAAAUAAGAUCUACAGAAAAAGGAGAAAAUGGAGAGACUAAAUUUGUGGUUCUUGCACGGUCAGGAUGUUCAAUAAGCAAGUCAAAGAAUGCCUUCAACUUACGCCCUGUUAGCAAAACUGACAAAAACAAUAGGAGCGGAUAAAAAUAGAGGUGUUUCCUAACUGUGAAAGUAUAAUAUUUUCUAUAUUACAGGUACAUAAAUUCUUGAAAUAAUAGAUUAUAUAAACUAUAUUUUCUAUAUUGCAGUUAUUGUUAAAAGUUAAAAGUUAUGUGUCCACACUUUGAUUAGUUUUCUCUUUCUUCAGUUUGGUAGUAUCGUAAUAUUUACAUUGCCUCUUUUGGAUGACCAUACUUCCUCAACAUUUGAAACUAAUACUCCCU
rnacentral:lncRNA from 1 species